CAGUAGCCACGGUAAUACGUAGGUGGCAAGCGUUGUCCGGAAUUAUUGGGCGUAAAGGGCUCGCAGGCGGUUUCUUAAGUCUGAUGUGAAAGCCCCCGGCUCAACCGGGGAGGGUCAUUGGAAACUAGGAAACUUGAGUGCAGAAGAGGAGAGUGGAAUUCCACGUGUAGCGGUGAAAUGCGUAGAGAUGUGGAGGAACACCAGUGGCGAAGGCGACUCUCUGGUCUGUAACUGACGCUGAGGAGCGAAAGCGUGGGGAGCGAACAGGAUUAGAUACCCGUGUAGUCCCUGUCUCUUAUAC
rnacentral:rRNA from 1 species